GUCUUGAGGACACCGUGGAAGGUCGAACGUUGGAGGAGUCCGAGAUACGAUUUUGCUGUGGAAGUUUGGACGGAGUCCGGCUCUCGUAGGAGUCUAGAUGAAGUCCUCUUAUUGUAGAAGCUCGAUCGAAGAUCAGUUGUCGUGGAAGCUCAGAUGGAGACUUCUUAUUGUAGAAGUCCCGCUGCUGGAGAAGCUCGAUCAUUGACGAGGUCUGGAAGAAGUUUGGGG
rnacentral:lncRNA from 1 species